UUUACCAAUUAAACCAACCCUCGUUGUCAAGAUCCCCACAAAGUUGUUGGUUGCAAGUCCAAUAUUAAUCAUCCAUGCUGUAGUGGCUUAGGGUCUGCAAUUUAGGGUAUUGCAAUUGAUGAGCUGUUUGCUAUUAUAAAUUUGGGAAGGCCUCAAACUCUAAUUUUUUUUUCUUUUUUUUUUUCUCAAUUCUUCUAUAUGAUAUGUGAUCCAUCUAUAACAGAGAAUUGACAAAAGGCCAAAAAAAAAAAAAAAAAAAAAAAAAAAAAAAAACAGAAAAGACAAAAAAUUGAAUUCUGGUAUGUUACAGUUUAUGGACAUCGCAAAGCAAAUUGACUUCUUGGUCUCUUUCCGUGGUCAAGGCAAAAGCUCUCUGCGUCGUCUUUCCUUGCUCUGCCUGAGCCUCCGCGUUGUAUUCCAAAAGGCGUAGCUCUCUCUCUCUUUCAGGGAAAUUUGCAAGCAAAGGUCCGAGGAAAUGGUGGUUUGCUUUCCGUCCACGCCCAAGAGGUUGGCUAUGACAAUAGGAUGCUUCAUUUCUGCUGCUGCUCUUUUUGCUUUUGGUGCUCAUAUCUCUUAUGUCAAUGUUGCCCCGCAACAAGCUCGAACCAAAGCUCGAAAUGAGUUUGUGAGAGAACGGCUGAAACAGAAGUAUGGCAAAUGAUAGAAAACGCAGUAUUGGCAUAUCGCAGUUGGGUUUUCGGAUUGCAUGCCGUUGAAAGAAAAGAGACGAUUGUAAAUUUUAUGAUCAUACCAUUCAGUGAUGAACAUCCUGCUCUUGUUUUUCUUUUCUUUUUUUCUUUUUGUUUACAUUGUACGACAUACAACAGGGAUGAUAAAUAAUUUUGAUGGCCAUGAUUUGAUUGCAUUUGGAUGCAAUUGAUAGGUUUGAGAAUCAUACUUGAAUCUGCGUUUUAAA